rnacentral:rRNA from 1 species
UCUGGCACUUUCAGUGUCCGAGUUGUAAUCUCGAGAAGUGUUUUCCGCGCCGGACCGCAUACAAGUCUGUUGGAAUACAGCGUCAUAGUGGUGAGAACCCCGUAACUGAUGCGGAUGCCCGGUGCUUUGUGAUACACUUUCGAAGAGUCGAGUUGUUUGGGAAUGCAGCUCAAAUUGGGUGGUAAAUUCCAUCUAAAGCUAAAUAUUGGCGAGAGACCGAUAGCGAACAAGUACCGUGAGGGAAAGAUGAAAAGCACUUUGGAAAGAGAGUUAACAGUACGUGAAAUUGUUGGAAGGGAAACGAUUGAAGUCAGACUUGUUAUCUGGAGUUCAGCCUUUCGGUGUACUCUCCAGUUUACAGGCCAGCAUCAGUUUUCGGGGCGGGAAAAUCGUAAUUAGAAGGUAGCAGCCUAGCUGUGUUAUAGCUUUUUACUGGAUUCCGCUUUGGGGACUGAGGAACGCAGUGUGCUUUUAGCAAUACCCUCGGGUAUUUCACACUUAGGAUGCUGGUGGAAUGGCUUUAAACGACCCGUCUUG